AUGCUCCCGAAAUUAACACGCAUUCGUUUCAGCGUCAGCUCCGUAGAAUCGGGAAUGCAGCAAAAAGAGCCCCUCAGGUUCAGGGGCUUCAGCUCGGUGCUCUGUUUCCCAGCGCUGUCACCUGGAAAAAUGGUGUUAUGCACAUUAAUCUCAUGUUCUGUCAGUGCUGGGGAGGUUUCCCCAGCCACAGCUAUGAGGGAAAUAAGGUUUAUUUCAAGAGUUUGCUCGACUCACCUUGCUCUGUGCCACAGCUCCUCUCUUUCCCUUCUCUUCGCUCAGGUUUCCUGGGGCAGCAGCAGCAGCAGCAUCCAGUUUGCAGAGUCUGUGUCUCCGCCUCACCCAGAACCUUUUGAAGCAGAACCCAUCCCUCCUGUGCCCAGCUGCUGCCCGUCCUGGCAGUUUUCCAGCUGCCUUUCCUGUGAGGAAAGCCCUGGGUACCUGGAGCAGCUGAUAGAUUCCUGCCUCCAGGAGCCACCCUCGGAGCCAGCCUUCAGUGCCCUGCAGCCCUCCUCACACUACACCCCAGACACCUUCCAGCCAGUCCAGCUCUGCUUCAACCAGGGCCUGGCUGCCAGCUCUCCCAGCUCAGCCGACCUGCCCAGCCCAUGGAACUCCAGCUGCUCUCCCCCUCAGCUCUCCCCCCUGACCCCGCUGCCCCCCAGCCCACCCUCAGCUCUGGACACCAAACCCUACAGCUGUCCCGUGGAGGAGUGGCCCUGCCACCCCCCCUGCCCCUUCCCCAGCCCAGCCUGCUGCUGCACAGCCUGCGGCCCCCAGACCAUGGACAGCAGGGGCCAGCACUGCUUCCCCUGCCCCAGCACGGACUGCCUGGAAUUCCUGCCAGCCCUGGCCGAGGACUUCCUCAGGAGGGACAGGAGCUGUGACAUUUGCUACAGCUAA
rnacentral:lncRNA from 1 species